GUUAUAUUCUGUUCUUUCAGUUUCUUUCACGGACUAACAAGUCAUAACCUCCCUGCUCCCUCAUUCUCUCUCCUCCUCCCUCCCUCAAUUCUAGAUCUCACUGUCUAAAGUCGAACUAAUCGACACCAGAUCCACGACAACGGUCCUCCGACGCACCUCCGACUGCAGCUUUCCAGACUUCAAGGCGGGUCAACGAACUCACCUCCCACGCAUAUCCUCCUUGAGAUCCAGUAUUGCUGCCUUGUUGGUCCAUACUCCAUAGUAUUUGUUUGGUGCUGUGUUUUUAGAGAACACCAACAAGAAACAACAACAUACUCUUAUUCUUGUAAUAUGGAGAGCUCUCAAUCCAAACAGUGUCCUUUUUGGCAGAAAGUGUACAACCAUUGUAUAACUUGUCAUUUUUUUGGAUUUUAAGAUGUAAUUGGUGUUUUUUGUGGAACCAUGGUGUUCUUGAUUGAUGUAAUAGUAUAAUUAGUAUUUUAAUAAUACUCACUACUUGCGUAGUGGUUUGCUACUACAAA